AAGGCCUUAGCUUAAUUAAAGUGUUUGGGUUGCAUUCAAGAGAUGUAUAUUAAGAUUAUACAGGUCUUA
rnacentral:tRNA from 1 species